GCAGGACUCUGAAAAGAACAGAGUUGACCUCCCGGGGAAAACUAAAGUCUUUCACCCAGGAAAUGCGUGUUCCUUAGGAGUGUUUUAAUCCAAACCAAUCCUUUUCCUAAUCUUAACUGGUCGUUUUGGUACCUAAUCUUAACUUUCAUCACAGCAAA